rfam:Podospora anserina genomic DNA, chromosome 1.
GGUGAGAUGGCCGAGCGGUCUAAGGCGCCAGGUUCAGGUCCACCUGAAUUACCAUACUGCAAAGUAUUUCCUGGUCUCGAAAGGGGCGUGGGUUCGAAUCCCACUCUCAUCA